CAGGAUUUUAAUGGUUCAAUUGUCUGAUUCUCCCACAUCAGGUAGCCUAUGCCAUUUAUACCAUCUAUAUGUCUGGCAUUUCAAACAGCUCUCUAUAAAGAGUCAUAAGAAAGGAAGUAGAUGCAUAAGCAGUGCAACUGAUGUUUGUAAAGGAAGGCCACUGCUUCCCCAGCCCUCAUUAUCUCGUCAUUUCUAAGGAACUUCCCUAUCCGCAACAGUCAGCACCAUUAAACCCCAACCAGAACC
rnacentral:misc_RNA from 1 species